CUAUAAAAUUUAUAAAAAUACAAAAAAUAUUCAAAACAAUAAAAUUUAAAAAAAUAUCAUUUUAUAAUGUUUCAGAACCAAGUUUAUCUUCGAAUCAUCAUCAACUUGUUAUUUAACGGGUUUAUCCUUAGACACCAUGAUGUCUUUUGGGUUGUUUCUUGCUAUUUUGUGAAAACCAAGUUAUCCCUGAACGCGUGUUCCGUUACAAAUAUUGUCAUAACCGGCGCAAAUACUAAUUACAAUCAUUGGAAAGAGUAAGCAUGAAAGGAAAUACGAUGUUUAUUCUAUAAGGAAAAUUAUUAACACUUGCUGGAAAGUUUUUUUUUGCUGCAUUAUUCUGGGAACCAGCCAAACAUAGGAACAAAUAUGAUACAGGUCCUGAGAUUCACUGCAGUAUUCUAAAAUUGGGGUUUGGGGUGAUAAAGCAAGGUGGGAUUUUAACCAUAUGGUAAAUCAGUGUAAAAUUGUGCCCAAUAUCAAGCAUUAUGGUUAAUCUCAUUGACCAUUCCUCAAUGCUAUAUAUUAAGUAUUCACGUAUGCUAAAGUUUGGUCUCUAUCCAUUCAAUUUCAAAAAUCUGCUUCACAUAUCUAACUGUUGCAUCAACACUAUCAGACUCUAAACCCUUUCACCAGGGACGCGAUCAGCUUUCGCCCUGUAGGAGAUGAGGCGAAGGUGGCUAAUUGUUGGAUGAAAAUCAGAGAACCAAUCGAAGGAACUUCCUCCACUUUUUUCUCAAACAGAUCAAAUUUGCUUAAUAUCAACAUGAGAACCGUUCGCUCAAGUAGCUCUUCAAGUUGGAGUUUUGGACCGUGAAAUUAAGUUGCAUGAAAAGGCUCUAUGCUUGAAGGUAAUAAUAGACUUGACAAGAAACAAAAUCAAUAGUCGGAUAGUAUGAAUAUUGUCCUUGACAAAAAUUUUAUAAUUUGUUAUAAAGAGAAAUGAAUGAAAACAACCAUUACUCACCAAUCAGCAGAAUUUAAAAAGAGUGGAAUUGGAAGAUGCAAACUAAAAAGCAUACUCAAAUUAAAAGGGCAAUCAGCAAAAUUCUAAGGGGUUUUUAGCAGAUGUGAGGCAGCUUUACUGUUUCAGUUACAAGCAUUAGCAAACAAAGAAC
rnacentral:lncRNA from 1 species